AGGACGAACGCUGGCGGCGUGCUUAACACAUGCAAGUCGAGCGGAAAGGCCCUUCGGGUACUCGAGCGGCGAACGGGUGAGUAACACGUGAGUAAUCUGCCCCUAGCUCUGGGAUAGCUCCGGGAAAACCGGGAUUAAUACCGGAUACGACCACUUUAGACAUCUGUUGUGGUGGAAAGAUUUUGGCUAGGGAUGAGCUCGCGGCCUAUCAGCUUGUUGGUGGGGUAACGGCCUACCAAGGCGACGACGGGUA
rnacentral:rRNA from 1 species